rnacentral:rRNA from 1 species
AUACGGAGGGAGCGAGCGUUAAUCGGAAUUACUGGGCGUAAAGCGCGCGUAGGCGGCUUUGUAAGUCGGAUGUGAAAGCCCUGGGCUCAACCCAGGAAUUGCAUUCGAUACUGCAGAACUAGAGUAUGGUAGAGGGAAGUGGAAUUUCCGGUGUAGCGGUGAAAUGCGUAGAUAUCGGAAGGAACACCAGUGGCGAAGGCGACUUCCUGGGCCAAUACUGACGCUGAGGUGCGAAAGCGUGGGGAGCAAACAGGAUUAGAAACCCCAGUAGUCC